UACGUAGGGUGCAAGCGUUAAUCGGAAUACUGGGCGUAAAGCGUGCGCAGGCGGUUAUAUAAGACAGUUGUGAAAUCCCCGGGCUCAACCUGGGAACUGCAUCUGUGACUGUAUAGCUAGAGUACGGUAGAGGGGGAUGGAAUUCCGCGUGUAGCAGUGAAAUGCGUAGAUAUGCGGAGGAACACCGAUGGCGAAGGCAAUCCCCUGGACCUGUACUGACGCUCAUGCACGAAAGCGUGGGGAGCAAACAGG
rnacentral:rRNA from 1 species